rnacentral:rRNA from 1 species
UACGUAGGGUGCAAGCGUUGUCCGGAAUUAUUGGGCGUAAAGAGCUCGUAGGCGGCCUGUCGCGUCGGCUGUGAAAACCCGGGGCUCAACCCCGGGCCUGCAGUCGAUACGGGCAGGCUAGAGUCCGGCAGGGGAGACUGGAAUUCCUGGUGUAGCGGUGAAAUGCGCAGAUAUCAGGAGGAACACCGGUGGCGAAGGCGGGUCUCUGGGCAGUAACUGACGCUGAGGAGCGAAAGCGUGGGGAGCGAACAGG